rnacentral:misc_RNA from 1 species
UUGCAGACCCAUGAGGAACUGCCUGCAAUUGACACCAAACAGCACACAAUAAAUUGCUAGAUAUUAAAACAUGAAAGCUACACAUUCAUGUAAGUGCAUGAAAAAGACAUCAACAGUACAGCAAUUUUAAAUUGUCAUAUUUCAAAAUACUCUGCAAAAUCUACUGGAAGAAUCUCAAUACCAUGUUUGGCUUAAUUUUUAGACUGACAUUAGCAGAAUUAAUAACAUGUUAGAAGAACAGUAACAAGAACAAGAAAAAGCAGUAUUAACUAAUUCAAAUUUACACAUCACUAGCUCUAUUGCCAAACUAAAAUGUUGGACAGUCGCAGGCACAUUAUUAGCUCUGGAGUAAUGAAUGUAAUUUACCUAUGCUCCUCCUCAGUCCACGG